rnacentral:tRNA from 1 species
GGGGGCGUAGCUCAGUUGGUAGAGCGCCAGCUUUGCAAGCUGGAUGUCGCGGGUUCGAUUCCUGUCGCCUCCACCA